GUCAUUUCCAUUUUUGCUACUACAUCUGAUCUUCCAGUAAUAAAUUUGAGCAAUGGAUAACAUCCAAAAAUUGAAAAAUAUAAUGAGCAAUAACAACAUUACAACCUACUGGAGAUUUAAGGUUUAAAAAUAGAACACAUAACAAUGAAACCCGUGAGAAAUAACGAGAAUCUUAUCUGAAAAAUAAAAGAAAGAACAAUGCUACUGAAUAAAAUUUAAACAAAUUGACAUUAUACAGUGCAGUCUUCGUCACGAUUAAGGCAAAAAUUGGAUGAGAUUCACCACCUCGGCUAUGGGAGAUCAACGACAGGCGUGGGCAACUGAGAAAUGGUAACUGGCGUGAGCGAUUUGUAUAGGAAAAUCGAAGAAGAAUGAGUGAUUUUGGCAGCUGCUUCGAUCUCGUCUUCUAUCAAUUAGGUCUUCUUCAUUUGUUGUUUG
rnacentral:lncRNA from 1 species